GUGACCUCAAAUCAGGUAGGACUACCCGCUGAACUUAAGCAUAUCAAUAAGCGGAGGAAAAGAAACUAACAAGGAUUCCCCUAGUAACUGCGAGUGAAGCGGGAAAAGCUCAAAUUUAAAAUCUGGCGGUCUUUUGGCUGUCCGAGUUGUAAUCUAGAGAAGUGUUAUCCGCGCUGGACCCGUGUACAAGUCUCCUGGAAUGGAGCAUCAUAGAGGGUGAGAAUCCCGUCUUUGACAUGGACUGCCAGGGCUUUUGUGAUGCGCUCUCAAAGAGUCGAGUUGUUUGGGAAUGCAGCUCAAAAUGGGUGGUAAAUUCCAUCUAAAGCUAAAUAUUGGCGAGAGACCGAUAGCGAACAAGUACCGUGAGGGAAAGAUGAAAAGAACUUUGGAAAGAGAGUUAAACAGUACGUGAAAUUGCUGAAAGGGAAACGCUUGAAGUCAGUCGCGUCGUCCAGGGAUCAACCUUGCUUUUGCUUGGUGCACUUUCUGGUUUGACGGGUCAGCAUCAAUUUUGACCAUUGGAAAAAGAUCAAGGGAAUGUGGCAUCUUUGGAUGUGUUUAUAGCCCUUGGUCACAUACAAUGGUUCGGGAUUGAGGAACUCAGCAUGCCGCAAGGCCGGGUGUUACACCACGUACGUGCUAGGAUGUGA
rnacentral:rRNA from 1 species